UGAACUUGAGUUUGUUUUUUUUACUUGAGUUUGUGUCGUUUUUGUACUUGAGUAUAUGGUGUUUUUGAACUUGAGUCUAUGUUGGUUUUGAACUUGAGGUUGUGGUGUUUUUUAACUUGAGUUUGUGUUGUGUUCAAACUUGAGCUUGUGUUGUUUGAUAACUUGAGAUUGUUUUUUGUUUGAACUUGAGUUUGUGGCAUUUGUUGAACUUGAGUUUGUGUCGUGUUUGAACUUGAGUCUGUGGUGUAUUUGAACUUGAGUCUGUGUUGUUUUUGAACUUGAGGUUGUGGAAAUUGUUAAACUUGAGAAUUGGGUGCUGGUUGAACUUGAGAUUUUGGUGUUUUUGAACUUGAGUUCGUGUUGUUUUUGAACUUGAGGUUGUGGAAAUCGUUAAAUUUGAGAAUUGGGUAUUGGUUGAACUUGAGUUUGUGGUGUUUGGUGAACUUGAGUUUGCGUAUUUAGUGAACUUGAAUUUGUGUUUGUUGAACUCGAGUUUGUGUUGUGUUUGAACUUGAGUUUGUGGUGUUUUUAAACUUGAAUUUGUUACUUGUUUGAACUUGAGUUUGUGGUUUUUUUAACUUAAGUUGUGUCGUGUUUGAACUUGAGCAUUGGGUAUUUUUUGAACGUGAGUCUGUGUUUUUUUUUAACUUGAAGUUGUGGAUAUUGUUAAACUUGAGAAUUGGGCAUUGGUUGAACUUGAGUUUUUUGUGUUUUAAACUUGAGAUUUUAUCGUGUUUGAACCCGAGUUUGUGGUGUUUGGUGUUCUUGAGUUUGCGUGUUUCGUGAACUUGAGAUUGUGUGUUUUUUUAACUUGAGUUUCUGUUGUUCUUGAACUCUGGGUUGCAGAAAUUGUUAAACUUGAGAAUAAGGUGUUGGUUGAACUUGAGUUUGUGUCGAGAUUUAGCUUGAGUUUGUGGCAAUUGUUGAACUUGUAUCUGUGGUUUUAGGUGAAUUUUAAUUGGUAGCAAUGUUUGAACUUGAGUUUGUGGCGUUUGUUGAACUUGAGUUUGUGUCGUGUCUGAACUCGAGUAUGUGGUGUUUUUUAACUUGAGUUUGUGGUGUGUUUGAACUUCAGUUUGUGUGUUUGUUGAACUUGAGGUUGUGGAAAUUAUUAAACUUGAGAAUCGGGUGUUGGUUGAAUUUGAGUUUGUUUGUUUGUUGAAUUCAAGUUUGUGGCGUGUUUCAUCUUGA